UUGCACCUUUUAAUAAAGAGGAUUCUUCUAGUUAUUUAUGGAUCUUUGACUGAAGGUGCACAAAGAAAAAGCUGUUCUGCAGCAGCGGUCAGACAACCGUAGAGAUCGGUCCACUGAUGAUUAGUUUACAAUACUUCUCAUCUACUAAAUCUAUCUCAUAUUU